UACAUCCGAGCCUUCUUCUCAAAGAUUGACGUACACGCUCAAAGAUACCAGGUGUGUUACGUAUUGCCUCGCAUGAAGCAACUAUUCGAUUCCUCAAAUCAUUCUCAUUCUCAAUUGGAGUGGAGAUAUCUGCAAUUU